GAUGAACGCUGGCGGCGUGCCUAAUACAUGCAAGUCGAGCGAACAGACGAGGAGCUUACUCCUCUGACGUUAGCGGCGGACGGGUGAGUAACACGUGGAUAACCUACCUAUAAGACUGGGAUAACUUCGGGAAACCGGAGCUAAUACCGGAUAACAUGUUGAACCGCAUGGUUCAACAGUGAAAGACGGUCUUGCUGUCACUUAUAGAUGGAUCCGCGUCGCAUUAGCUAGUUGGUAAGGUAACGGCUUACCAAGGCAACGAUGCGUAGCCGACCUGAGAGGGUGAUAGGCCACACUGGAACUGAGACACGGUCCAGACUCCUACGGGAGGCAGCAGUAGGGAAUCUUCCGCAAUGGGCGAAAGCCUGACGGAGCAACGCCGCGUGAGUGAAGAAGGUCUUCGGAUCGUAAAACUCUGUUAUUAGGGAAGAACAAAUGUGUAAGUAACUAUGCACGUCUUGACGGUACCUAAUCAGAAAGCCACGGCUAACUACGUG
rnacentral:rRNA from 1 species